rnacentral:pre_miRNA from 11 species
CAUCUCGGCACAGUUAAUGGCACUGGAAGAAUUCACGGGGUUUUUAUAACACGCCCGUGAUCUCUUAGUGGCAUCUAUGGUGCGGGAUA